GCCGGAGUGGUGGAAUAGGUAGACACGCGACACUUAAAAUGUCGUUUCCGUAAGGAAGUACGGGUUCGAUUCCCGUCUCUGGUACUA
rnacentral:tRNA from 1 species